AACGACGUAGUUUAAUAAAAACCUAUCCUUUGCGUGGAUUCAAUGGGAGUUUCGACCUCUUCGUUGUUA
rnacentral:tRNA from 1 species